UCCUCUAUCGAAGAUCUAGGUCACUAGUGGAUUAUGAAAAUGCUAACAAAGCACUGGAUAAAGCAAGAGCGAAAAAUAAAGAUGUUCUUCAGGCUGAGACAUCCCAACAAUUAUGUUGUCAGAAAUUUGAAAAAAUAUCUGAAUCUGCAAAACAAGAACUUAUAGAUUUUAAGACGAGAAGAGUUGCCGCAUUCAGAAAAAAUUUAGUGGAACUGGCAGAGUUAGAACUGAAGCAUGCAAAGGGUAACCUACAGUUGCUGCAGAACUGCUUGGCAGUGUUAAAUGGAGACACAUAAGCCACACUCCGCCUUUGGUUAAAAAGGGCUGCCUUCCUUCAGAUUUUAUUUUUGUUUUCUUAAUGAGAUUAGGCAUUUACUGCUCACCGGAAACAAAAGAAACAGCUGACCAAGUGCAUCUACUCUCCUUUUUUUCUGAGAAGCCAUGGAGCGGUGCCGUCCACGGGUUUUGCGGGUCCGUCCGUCUGUGUGGUGGAACGCUGCCCUCCUGCAGCUCCCCGUGUGCUGCCUGGGACGGUUGUCCAUCACCGUGCGCUCCUCCUCUUCCGAAGCCCAGCGUUCAGUCCUUUUUUAAGUAGCCUCUGUAACUGUCUUUAUUUUCUGAAUAGCGUUCCUUAUGGCUGCCAAUCUUAUUUCCCUUUAAGUAAUUUCUGAUGUUUAACCCUUUCAAAGAUGCAUUGUUCAGACAAGAUAAAGGUUGCCAUUACCUUUUGUUUUCUUUUGGUGUUUUUGUUAUGUUUUGUUUUGUUUUUUUAAAAACAUUGUAUGCCACCUUAGUUCAUCCAUGUAUCCUGGUAAAAGCAUCUUAAUCAGACUUAUUUUUAAUUAAUGAACAUUUCUUAGAAGUUUUGGGACAGACUUUAUGUAAUCUUUGUAAGUAUGAUUUCUGAUGAAAAGCGACUGCAUUAGUAUGUUUGCCUUAAACUUGUAGACUAAACCGACUAUUGUCAAAUAAACCGUGGUAACAGU